UACGGAGGGUGCAAGCGUUAAUCGGAAUUACUGGGCGUAAAGCGUGCGUAGGUGGUUCGUUUAAGUCCGUUGUGAAAGCCCCGAGCUCAACUCUGGAACUGCCUUUUUGAUACUGGGUAUCUUGAGUAUGGAAGAGGUGAGUGGAAAUUCCGAGUGUAGAGGUGAAAAUUCGUAGAUAUUCGGAGGAACACCAGUGGCGAAGGCGGCUCACUGGUCCAUUUACUGACGCUGAGGUGCGAAAAGCGUGGGGAGCAAACAGGG
rnacentral:rRNA from 1 species